rnacentral:lncRNA from 1 species
UACUAACUUACAGUUCUGGAUCCAUGCUCUGAAAGGGAGUGCAGAUAAGAUAUAAACAUGCCUGGGUUCAGCUUUACACAGGGGAAAGGAGAAGCGAUUUUGCUGGCAGAAGGGAAGCACCAGGGAAAUGCUUCUUGAAGAGCAGCUGUCUGGUAGUGAAUGACCCUUAUGAAACAGUCUCCGGAUGGUCUGAGGUCCCCCCACUGCACCUGUGUACUGGGAGUGGGAAGGGCAGGUGCUGCCAGCCACCUCUCCUAAAAUAUGCUACUUGAACCCCGCAGCAUGACUGACACAGAGAGCAAAUGAAAGGCAAAAGAACACGCACACACCCAGCAGUGCUUCAACUGCCAAGAGCAGCCAUUGAGCUGCAGGUUAUCAAGCUGACAGCAGAUCCCCAAACCUCAUCUGCUAUACCACUCACAAGAGAAAGGAAUUCAUAUCAAGAAGUCUCAUUCUUCACACCCUGUCCCUAUACACUGUACUACCUAGAGCCUAUAUUGUCAGCCUUCCUUCUCAUCCAUUUUUCCCUUUGCUUUCAGAAGUAGCAGUCAAUUGCUGCUAAACCCUCAAACCCAGCACCAGCACACUCCACCUAACUCUCUCCUUACUUUCUUGAAUUGUUACUCAAACGGGUAAUGCAGAAGCAAACCCCAGAGCAUACAGGUGCCCAGGUACAGUGCUUUUCCCCCUCCAUGAGUUUUGAGCCAGGACACUUAAGGACAGACAAAAACUUUUGGGAAGGAAAUAGAGGAAAUAACUGUUCCAAACGGAAGUCUGAACAAACUGUUAUAGUUCAGAGAACUGUAAGGAAAUAACAUUCCUAGAUUGUUCUUUUUUAAGGAAUGAAAGAGUAUCUAUGUUUCUUUUCAGUCACUUUCUCAUUUUCGGAACUACAUUACACAGCUACAUCUUCCUUAUUCUGAUACAUGUCAGCAGGUACACUGUAAGUCAUUUAGAGAUACCGUAAUUCAGUUAACUACAAAGCUUCCAUGUUUUAUCAGAAAAACAGUCUACUAGCGUGACAAUCAGUUUCGUUUCUUCUCCAGCUCGAUGAAAUACUGCCAAGAGCAUACUAGCAUAAGCCCCCAAGCACAAACAUCAUGCAUGGCACCAUUUAAAUACCAAGCCAGGCCAUUUCCAAGAAAGUCUAUGAUUCAAAAAAAAAAAAAAAACAAACAAAAAA